CUAAAUAUAAAAAUUGCAAUUUAAUUAAUUCAUUUGAUUAAUCAAGUUCUAACUUUUGCUCCAAAUUGUUUAUUCAAUAACCCAGAAUGUGUUGUUGGUUUCCUCUUUAUACCAGAUACUUGCAUUGAGCAUUUAAAUUUGGGAAACACCCUCAAGAAAUUACAACUUUUUUUUUUUUAAAUUUUGCCAGUGACAUUGAGUCAAUAGGGCCUUUGCCCAAUGAGGCUGUCAAGUGGACUGUCAAAUUGGAAAAAAAGGUGAUAUUUUUCGCUUGGACAGAAUGAUGUAGUCUUGGAAGGAUUCAACAGGGCCUUUACCAAAUGAGUCUUGCUUCAGUCACUAUGAGAAUUUGUCUGUCUUUAACCUUCCCAUCAUUCACUCCGAUCAUGGGUCGAUGAUUGUUUUUACAAAUAAAAGAACACCAUUCCAACCCAUACCUUAUCGCUUCUAAUGUGGUGGGAUCCCCUUCCCAUAAUCUGGUUUGCAAAACCAAGAUCACAAGUUCUUUUCUUCGCAAGUGGAAGGACAUCUCCGGUAACCUACAAAAAAGAAAGUUGGACUUAGAAUGUGCUUUAAUGAAUGCACAACCUGACAUCUCUACCCCGAGCACCUUAGACCAGGAAAAGGAAAUCAGAGCCAACCUUAAACUACUUGAAGAACAAGAGCAGCUACAUUGGCUUCAAAAACCCAAGCUUCUGUGACAUAAAUCGGGAGAUCAAAACACAACUUCUUUCACCUUUCUACAAAACAUAGAAGAGCUAAAAAUAGAACCGAAGGCAUCAAAGACUCCAACAAUGUCUAGGUUGAUGAUCCGAUCCUACAUCGGUCCAACAUGUCUUUUUUAACUUUUUGAGAACUUUUAUUGUAGCCCAGUUACUAUUAGAAGGGAAACUAUUGUGGUUUCUUUGAGGGAACUCAACAUCCCUUGUCUCACCUAGAAGGACAUUUCUUUUCUUUCUUAGCUAUUCUCGGGGAGGGAAGUCA
rnacentral:lncRNA from 1 species